rnacentral:sRNA from 2 species
UUUUUUUUUAUUUUUUUUAUUCUUUUUUUUUCUUUGUUCUUUUAUAUUACAACUCGUUACGCGUUGUAAAUUUGUAACUUUAAUGUAACACAUAUAUAGAUCAAAAUUUUUAAUGAAAAAAAAAAAAAAAAUACAAAAUAUAAAAUAAUGCACAUACAUGUAAUAUGUAUAUAUAUAUAGAGUCAAUCAUAAAAAAAGGAUAAUUAAUAAGCAUAUAUUUUUAUAUACAUAUAUAUAUAUAUAUAUAUAUGUACAUAUGUAAUAUUAUUUGUAUGUACAGAUAAAAAGCCUUAUAUUAAAAAAAAAUUGUAUUUACGCAUAUAUAUAUAUAUAUAUAUAUAUAUAUAUUUGUUUAUUUAUUUAUAUAUUUAUAUUUAUGUACUUAAUUAUUUUGCAUAAAAUGAAUUAUAUUUUAAUCUAUAUAAACUUAUAUGUAACUAUUUGUUCUUAAUAAUAUAUAAAAUAUAAGUCGUUUUCUUUACAACAAUUUUAUAACAUGGCUUAUUAAUAAGUUAUGUAUAAUAAUUAAUCACAUAUAUUUAAAUAUGUAAUAAGUAUAUGAAUGAAAUCUUCUUUUUUCAUUAAAUAUAAUAUGAUAUAAUAAAAAUAAAAAUAAAAUAUAUAUAUAUAUAUAUAUUAUAUACAUAGAACAGUACUAUUUUAUUUUAUUUAAUAUUUUUUGUGUUUUAUAUGUAUAAAUCUAGAAUAUAUUUAGAGUAUAAAAAGAAAAAGAAAAUAAUUUCAUAAGUCUAUAUAUAUAUAUAUUCAUAAUUAAUAAUAUUACACUGAUAUAUAAAUAAUAUUAAUAUAUUUAAUAUCAACAUUAUCGGUAUGUAUAUCCUUUUUAUAAUGUAGAUUAAAAUGGCACACUCUCUUAUUAUAUGUAAAAAAAAAAAAAAAAAAAAGAAUUAUAAAGUAAUAAAAUAUAUAUCUCUUUCAGUUUGUAUCUACAUAUAUUAAUCUGUCAUAAAAACAGUAUAUAAAUAUACAUUCAUAAUUUAUUAAUAUAUUUUAUUAAUUUUUUCAUGCAUAUUAUAAUUAGGUGACACAUAUGUAUAUAUAUUAAAAAUACGUUCAUUUCAAAAGGGCAAAGAAAAUAUACACUUUAUGUAAUAUGUAAUUUCUAAAUAUUUAUUUAUUUUUAUAUUUAAUAUAAAAUGUAUUUAUUAUAUUCAAGCAUAUAAUAUUAAUAACAUGAGCAUAAAUAUAUUAUAAAUAUAUAAUAAAAUAAAUGUAGGUAUAUUAACUUUUUCCAUGUAGGUAUUAUAUAAUGAUCGGGGUAAUAAACUAUAAGACAAAAAAAUGUAUUAUCAUGUUUAUAUAUUGUUAAUAAAAAUAUUUUCUAUAUAUAAAAAGUGUUUAUCAAAAUAUUAUAUAUGUAUUUAUAUAUUUAUCUAUUUUUAUUUCUUUUCUUUUUUGUAAUAUUAUAUUACUAUAUGUAUAAGGUAAUAAAAUAUAUAUAUAUAUAUAUUUAUUUAUUUAAAAAAAGAUAUAUUUUUUCAGUAUAUAUAUAUAUAUAUAUAUAUAUAUAUAUAAACACAAUUUAUAAAAUUAUUUUAUAUAACAAGUGUGUAAAAAUGUAAAAAUAUAAAAAUAUUUCAUUCCACAAUUUUUUCUUAUUUUAAAUUUAAAUGGUAAAAAAAAAAAAAUGAAAUAAGACAAUAUCCAAUUUUAUACUUUAAAAUAGUUCUACACAUAUAUGUAAAAAUAAAUAUAUAAGAAUAAAAAUAGGCAAAAUCACGGUUCAAAAUAUAUUGAAAAAAAAAAAUAUAUAUAUAAAAUAAACAGUAUUAUAUUAUAUAACAAAGACUUAUCACGAGGACAAAAUUAUAUUUAUAAAAAAUUAAUAUUAUAAAUAUAUUUAUAAAUGUAUACACAUUCAUUUAAAUAUUUAUUAAAUACAUAAAAUGAUAAAGACAAUAUAAGAUACGUCACAUAUUUCUAUCUUGCACUAUAUAAAUAUGAAUUAAUAUAUUAAUAUGUAUAAAUAUAUAUAAGCAUACAAUAAUAUAUAUAUUAUUAUUGACAGAUAAAUAAAUAUAAAUAUAUAUAUAUAUAUAUAUAAACAAGACAUUAAAUUAUCAUAAUUUUAUAUAAAUAUAUUCUAUGUAGUUAUACAUUUGUGUAUAUGUAAAUUUUACUAUACAUAUAUGUAUAUAUAAAAAGUUCAUUUAAAUUACUAGCUUUUUUUUUUUUUUUUUUUUUUCAAUCUUUAUAAUUUGAAUAAAAUACUUAUAAAAUAUUUAUAUACGUUAAAAAAAGGAAAUAAAUAAAAUAAACAAGUACAAAAUAUUAUAUUUCUUUUGGAUAUAAUUUUUUUUUUUUUUUUUGCAUAUGUUUCUUGUUAUAUAUUUAGAUAAAGCAAAUUCAUUUGUAUUCUUAUGUAUCAUAUAAAUAUUAAAUAAUGUAUAUUUAAAAAAAAAAAAAAAAAAUCCAUAAAUAUAUGUAUAAAUAAAUAAAUAUAUAUAUAUAUAUAUAUAUAUAUAAUGUAAAUAUUUCG